UACGUAGGGCGCAAGCGUUGUCCGGAAUUAUUGGGCGUAAAGAGCUCGUAGGCGGCUUGUCACGUCGACUGUGAAAACCCGGGGCUCAACUCCGGGCCUGCAGUCGAUACGGGCUGGCUUGAGUGCGGUAGGGGAGACUGGAAUUCCUGGUGUAGCGGUGAAAUGCGCAGAUAUCAGGAGGAACACCGAUGGCGAAGGCAGGUCUCUGGGCCGAUACUGACGCUGAGGAGCGAAAGCGUGGGGAGCGAACAGG
rnacentral:rRNA from 1 species